rnacentral:rRNA from 1 species
CCCAGACUCCUACGGGAGGCAGCAGUGAGGAAUAUUGGUCAAUGGGCUUACGCCUGAACCAGCCAAGUCGCGUGAGGGAAGACUGCCCUAUGGGUUGUAAACCUCUUUUGUCAGGGAGCAACGCCGGCUACGUGUAGCCGGACUGAGAGUACCUGAAGAAAAAGCAUCGGCUAACUCCGUGCCAGCAGCCGCGGUAAUACGGAGGAUGCGAGCGUUAUCCGGAUUUAUUGGGUUUAAAGGGUGCGUAGGCGGAAUGCCAAGUCAGCGGUAAAAUCGGGGGGCUCAACCUCGCUCCGCCGUUGAAACUGCGUUUCUUGAGUGGGCGAGAAGUACGCGGAAUGCGUGGUGUAGCGGUGAAAUGCAUAGAUAUCACGCAGAACUCCGAUUGCGAAGGCAGCAUACCGGCGCCCAACUGACGCUGAAGCACGAAAGCGUGGGUAUCGAACAGGAUUAGAUACCCGUGUA